rnacentral:rRNA from 1 species
AACGAACGCUGGCGGCGUGGAUAAGGCAUGCAAGUCGGACGAAUUUUCUAGCUGUUUCGGAAAUUAGUGGCAAACGGGUGCGUAACACGUGGGUAAUCUGCCUCAGAGAUUGGGAUAACCUGUCGAAAGACGGGCUAAUACCAAAUGUGACCACGCCCUCUUCGGAGGGUGAGGUAAAAGGUGGGCGAGCUUCGGCUUGCCUAUCACUUUGUAGAUGAGCCCGCCGUCCUACU